AGUGAACGCUGGCGGUAGGCCUAACACAUGCAAGUCGAACGGCAGCACAGUAAGAGCUUGCUCUUACGGGUGGCGAGUGGCGGACGGGUGAGGAAUACAUCGGAAUCUACUUUUUCGUGGGGGAUAACGUAGGGAAACUUACGCUAAUACCGCAUACGACCUACGGGUGAAAGCAGGGGAUCUUCGGACCUUGCGCGAUUGAAUGAGCCGAUGUCGGAUUAGCUAGUUGGCGGGGUAAAGGCCCACCAAGGCGACGACCCGUAGCUGGUCUGAGAGGAUGAUCAGCCACACUGGAACUGAGACACGGUCCAGACUCCUACGGGAGGCAGCAGUGGGGAAUAUUGGACAAUGGGCGCAAGCCUGAUCCAGCCAUACCGCGUGGGUGAAGAAGGCCUUCGGGUUGUAAAGCCCCUUUGUUGGGAAAGAAAAGCAGCAGGUUAAUACCCCGCUGUUCUGACGGUACCCAAAGAAUAAGCACCGGCUAACUUCGUG
rnacentral:rRNA from 1 species